UACGUGGGGGGCAAGCGUUGUCCGGAAUCAUUGGGCGUAAAGAGCGUGUAGGCGGCUCGGUAAGUCCGCUGUGAAAGUCCAGGGCUCAACCCUGGAAUGCCGGUGGAAACUGUCGAGCUCGAGUCCGGAAGAGGCGAGUGGAAUUCCUGGUGUAGCGGUGAAAUGCGCAGAUAUCAGGAGGAACACCAAUGGCGAAGGCAGCUCGCUGGGACGGUACUGACGCUGAGACGCGAAAGCGUGGGGAGCAAACAGG
rnacentral:rRNA from 1 species